rnacentral:rRNA from 1 species
AUGUGGGAGGUCAGCAGGCAGCGCGGCGGCGCAGGCGAUCCAGCUAUGCAGGUUGGCCGUGCCGUGCUGUGGAGAGGAGGGGCACCACCCGUGCUUGGCUGGCCUAGGGAGGAGGCAGCAAGGCGGCGGGCGCGAGCGGCGGCUAAAGAUGGUUGUAGAAGAUGCUGCGGCAUGCGGGGAACAGUCGUGGCAGCGGCGAGGCGGUCGGCGCCAUGGGCGAGCGGCUCAGGCGAGCUCGUUAAGUUUAGAGAAGCCAGCAGCGGGACGGAUGGGGCAGAGCUCGAGCUUAGUGUAUGGCCAUUGUCUUGGUAG